GGAGGAGACACUAUGGGACAAGGGGAGGGGGACACUAAGGGAGAAAGGGAGGGGAGACACUAUGGGACAAGGGGAGGGGAGGAGACACUAUGGGAUAAGGGGAGGGGGACACUAAGGGAGAAAGGGAGGGGAGACACUAUGGGACAAGGGGAGGGGAGGAGACACUAUGGGAUAAGGGGAGGGGGACACUAUGGGAGAAAGGGAGGGGAG